rnacentral:misc_RNA from 1 species
UGCAGUUGCUGUUUAUCUUGACAAGACUAUGCACAUCAACACCUAUGAUGAAAUCUUUGCAGGAUUGACAAAUCCCAAUCACGAAAAUAAAGUGAGAGAUGUAUUAGUUGAUGUAUGCAAUGGUGCUAUUGAGACUCUUGUCAAGACAUCUCAUCAAGUCUUGACAAGUGCUGAUUCUGAAGCAAAUUCAAGGCUGGAAUCUCCAAAGUUAGCCAUUGAUAAACAGGAAGGUUCAUCAGAGAAUGAAGAAUCUACAAGCCAAUCGAAAGCAAGAAAGUCGUUUGAUGAAGCUGAGGAUGGUGGAUGGUUUAGAAAAGUGUCAUCUACUUUAGCAGUACCAAGCAAUAGAAGGUUUAUUCUUGAUGUGACUGGGAGGAUUACAUUUGAGACAGUUAGAUCUUUCUUGGAGUUUUUGCUGGAGAGACUUUAUGAUGGAAUAAA